GCGUCGGUGGGCUACUGGUAGCCUGCAACCUAUCUGUUCGAAGAUUGUUUUAAGAUUCGGAAGGUUGAGAACGGGGUUCGACUCCGAGUCCCCGCCGAUGCA